UACGGAGGGUGCAAGCGUUGCUCGGAAUUAUUGGGCGUAAAGGGUAGGUAGGUGGUCUCGUUUGUCUGGGGUGAAAGCCUUGAGCUUAACUCAAGAAGUGCCCCAGAAACGGCGAGACUAGAGUCCUAGAGAGGGUCGUGGAAUUCCCGGUGUAGCGGUGAAAUGCGUAGAGAUCCGGAGGAACACCAGAGGCGAAGGCGGCAACCUGGCUCGUAACUGACGCUCAUACACGACAGCAUGGGGAGCGAAC
rnacentral:rRNA from 1 species